rnacentral:tRNA from 1 species
GCUUCGAUAGCUCAGUUGGUAGAGCAUUCGGCUGUUAACCGAAAGGUCGGGAGAUCGAAACUCCCUUGGAGCG